rnacentral:tRNA from 1 species
UGGGUUGUAGCUCAGUGGUAGAGCACUUGCCUGGCAUAUAUGUGGCCCUGGGCUCAAUCCUUAGCACUACAA